rnacentral:rRNA from 1 species
ACAACAGUUGGAAACGACUGCUAAUACCGCAUAAGCCCACGGAUCCGCAUGGAUCUGCGGGAAAAGGAUUUAUUCGCUCUAGGAUGGACUCGCGUCCAAUUAGCUAGUUGGUGAGGUAACGGCCCACCAAGGCGACGAUUGGUAGCCGGACUGAGAGGUUGAACGGCCACAUUGGGACUGAGACACGGCCCAGACUCCUACGGGAGGCAGCAGUGGGGGAUAUUGCACAAUGGGGGAAACCCUGAUGCAGCGACGCCGCGUGGAGGAAGAAGGUUUUCGGAUUGUAAACUCCUGUCGUUAGGGACGAUAAUGACGGUACCUAACAAGAAAGCACCGGCUAACUACGUGCCAGCAGCCGCGGUAAAACGUAGGGUGCAAGCGUUGUCCGGAAUUACUGGGUGUAAAGGGAGCGCAGGCGGACCGGCAAGUUGGAAGUGAAAACUAUGGGCUCAACCCAUAAAUUGCUUUCAAAACUGCUGGCCUUGAGUAGUGCAGAGGUAGGUGGAAUUCCCGGUGUAGCGGUGGAAUGCGUAGAUAUCGGGAGGAACACCGGUGGCGAAGGCGACCUACUGGGCACCAACUGACGCUGAGGCUCGAAAGCAUGGGUAGCAAACAGGAUUAGAUACCCUGGUAGUCCAUGCCGUAAACGAUGAUUACUAGGUGUUGGAGGAUUGACCCCUUCAGUGCCG